CCCAUGCCGUCAUAUAAGGAAAUCAUUCCUUUCUAUCAUAGUGGUAAAGGGCCACCUGCAACCUAUAAUCAUUAUAUAAAAGGAAAACUAAUGAAAAUAGUUUCAAAAUUUUGAGUUUUAACGAUAAAGACAAAAUAACGGGUAAAAUAAAUAGUACCAGGAUUGACUUUCUAAUGUAAAAAUACAAUUUUUCGUUAAAAUAAACCGUACUGAGAAUUUUUCGUUAAAAUUCUUUUAUAUAAAUGAAAAGAUACUUAAAAUCAAGAUUUUCUAUAUUUGUGAAAUGAUAUAUGCCGAGCGCAUCCGUAUUCCGUGCUCAUUAAAAUAUAUAUCCGAUAAGGUCGUUGAUUUACAAUAUGAAAAGACGUUCUUGAAAUUACGAAAAAGCACCGAAAGCUUCCCGCUACGUCUAGUAUGUUCUAGCUGCUUGCGUGUCGUCGGUUCAUCCUCCUUAAAAUCUCUCACUCACACUCUCCCAAGCACCCAUCAGAAAAAACUCAUAACGAUUCGAUCAACCGAAGGAAAUACCAUAUCAAAUUCUUGAAACGCAGUUGUGGAUUUACCCGCCAUUGUUGCAGAAAAGCUUCAGCUUCCUCCUCAUAAGUGUUUGUUAGGUAUCAUUAAUUGGUGAAGGAAAAUGAACCCUGAUAAGUUCACCCACAAGACCAAUCUUCUAGCACACUGGAUACAUGGACUAGCACUUCAUUUGGGUUUUCAAAGAUGACACCUAAUGAGGGGAUGCAGUUUCUCAAUUAUACUUUCAUGGAUUUCCAGGGCACUAUCUUGUGCAAUAAAGUAUUGAAACAGACAAACUCUACGACACAAGCAACCAUACCGUUCGGAGGAAGUAUCAAAUUUGAUGGAUCGCCCGUUGCCACCUCUACAGUAACUCAGGCAGAAGACAAUCGGCCGGAGAAUGGAGCUUCAGACCAAGAAUUGGGGAACGUUGCCUCCGGUGACAAGUUUUUGAUUGAUGUUGACUGCAUGCCGUUGGACAACAACGAACCUAGUUUCUCGGCGUGAUACAACGAACAGAAUUUUAGGUUGAUUCCAGGAUUUUGUUAGGGUGUAACUAUAUAAGAUAACUGAACAAAUUAUCGAGGGAAAUAUUUGACGGAUACAUUCGGUAAUUAUGUACAAUUUUUUAAUGUGUUAUUAAACUAAAUAUCACUUAUCAAAUUUUAUUUUUCA